GUGGUCAGUUUUGGUCCUUUUUUUUUUUUUUUCCUGCUCGACAAAACCUCCAGAACUAACUACCGAAAUUUACUUAGGUGACCCGAUACCAUUUUCGUUAUCCGAGCCGGUUGCUUGUAGCGACUUCUCGGGUUGAGUUAAGCGUAUUUUGUAAGUAAGACGGGGAGAGGGUUUGCCAUAUUGGCGUCCCAGAGGGAGCUAACCAGUGUUAGCUUUGGUCUAGUCAUGACAACCAGAGGAACUGCCAUCACCACAAUCCUCCCCUGUGGCUUUGCUAGGAUUAGCAGGCCUCCAUUAUGGACUUCAGAUGCAAGCUUACUGCUCCCAGAUGGAUGAUUAUCACAUCUGUGUUCUACAUCUGGAUCAUGCACAUGUACCCAUGGGAAUCCUCUCGCAUCCCUGCAGUGGGAUGGGCCGUAUUCAUUUCAUGUCAUGUCAGCCUACUCUGCAGAGAGAAUCCUGAAAUUUCUUCAGAGCAUCAGUUCCUUUUUUCUGUUCUUUUUCAGCUGUUUCAUUUUUUUAAAGAUUGUCGUCAAGUUUGCAAACCUGGGAAAAGUAAACUCUGUGAACCUUUGUUUUUUUUUAUUGUUAUUAAAUUUAUUUAGAAGGCUCA